UUUCCGUAGGUGAACCUGCGGAAGGAUCAUUACAGAGUUCAUGCCCUCACGGGUAGAUCUCCCACCCUUGAAUAUUUAUACCCUAGUUGCUUUGGCAGGCCGUGGAAACACCAUGGGCUCCGGCUUAUGCGUGCCUGCCAGAGGAAACAAACUCUGUUUUUAGUGAUGUCUGAGUACUAUAUAAUAGUUAAAACUUUCAACAACGGAUCUCUUGGUUCUG
rnacentral:misc_RNA from 1 species